CUUGAAGUGAUCGUCACCCUCUCUGAGACUGCAGCUGCUAUGUUAAGAAAACAUACCAAUAUUGUUGCACAGACUAUUCCUCAGAUGUUAGCAAUGAUGGUUGAUUUGGAAGAAGAUGAGGACUGGGCAAAUGCAGAUGAACUAGAAGAUGAUGAUUUUGACAGCAACGCAGUUGCAGGCGAGAGUGCUCUAGAUCGAAUGGCUUGCGGACUUGGUGGAAAGCUCGUUCUGCCGAUGAUCAAGGAACACAUUAUGCAAAUGCUUCAAAAUCGUAAGCUGUGUCCUUCAAAUGCUAGAAUAGUGAAGUUGUGCCCUUUCUAAAGCUUAAAUUCUAAGAUAUGUUUAGACUGUUAAAAAUUAAUCUUUGUCUUUUUAUCAUCCAUAUUUAACCCAAUUCAUUUAUUUUACCGAUAAAAUUGUCAAUCCCAAAGAAAAUGUACAGAUUUACUUCCUAGCCAAAAGUAUUUAGAUUUGAAUUUGAAAAUGAUAUUAUUUGAAUUUUUAUGGAAUAUUAGAAUGUUUGAAUCAUAUACUCUUCUUUCACC
rnacentral:sRNA from 1 species